AACAAUGUUUUGUUUGUGCUUUAUGCUCACUUGUUUGUGCUUUGCUAAGCUAACACACUAGGCUCUUUUUGCGGACCAGUUUGCCCUUUUUCCAAGUUGGGUGGAAGAAUGUUGGACUACUUGACCAAAUUGGAUUGGGACAAUCAUUGUGUUUCUUUGAAGGGACCAGUCAGUAAAACUUCUCUGCCUAAUAUAGUAGUUGAGGUGCCUGAAAAUGGACGGAAUAUGUUCACAGCAGAAAUGGGAUUCCUAGCUUUGGAGGCCUAUGCACCUCCAAAAACAAGGUGAGGAAGGGAAAUUCUGUAUUAUUGCUUAAUCCAUUAGAUACAUAAAUUGUUCUUUUUAUAUACAGUUUUUCCACUAACAAGCUCUAAUGGUUAUUUUCGCAUAUUGCCUUCGAGGAAAAAACAAAAUACAAAGGAGGAACCUAAUCCUAACAGAAUGGUGCCACUUCAGCCGACAAAGGGAACUUUACCAAGAUUGCUGCAUUGCUAAGCACCACUAUUGUGCCACCUCAUUCCUUAUUUGGUCACAAAAUCCUUCAGGUGUGUUUCCUACCUGGUACACUUGCUAUUGGUGCCACUAAAGGCCUUACAAAGAAACAGGCAAUGAAAAACAAUAUGCUGAACUUUGAAGACCUACAAUAUUUGAAGAUAUCGUGAAUGGGGUUGGCAACUCUUUGAAGCUUUUGAAAAUGACACUAAGGUUGAUACUGGUGAAUAUUGUUCUCUGGACGAAGGAACCAUAAGGAAUUAUAUCAUCAGUUGCAUGCCUUAGACAGAUUUGAUCAACAUUAUCGGCGCAAGCUUCAAGAACAGGACAAUUCAAAUGCUACAGAAAGAGGUUAAUGAACCGGACUCAGGCAUUUAUACUCCUAGGGACACUGUGCCUAACACUGAGGAGCUGAUCGAGGAUCCAGAAGUCUGAUUCGUUGUCAGAAGUUCAUUCCAAAAGGGACUUCAAUUUCAUCCCAACAGCUACCAUUAUAACCCCUCAAGGCAACUGAAUUGUCGAUCCUUUUGUCCACUUAUUGGGAGAACUCAGGCUAGGCUUACCAUGGUUUGUAUACGUACACAAUGUUUGUUGCACAUAAUAUAUGUAAUAUAAUGCUAAUAAUUGUUAUAUAUAUAUAUAUAUAUAUAUAUAUGUAUAAUAAUUAAUGGUUGUUAUAUACAGCUGCACAAACUGUAUAUGCAUGUAAUGGUUGUUGUCUGGCCAAAAAAUAAAAUGUGUACGUAAUAUGGGCCAUAUGGCCUAUCGCUGCUAGCUGAUGAUGAUUGUAUAUAUUGUUAAAAAAAAAAAAACAUCAUUUUAAGACGGUUCUUGCCACGACCGUCUUAGAAUAUACUUAAUUCUAAGACGAUCCUGCAUCUACGACCGUCUUAGAAUGACAUACGGUCUAUGACGGUCAUGCGCCGGGAUCGUCUUAGUAUGUACGUCAUGCUACGACGGUCCUCACGCCGCAAUCAUCUUAGAAUGAAUGUUAUUCCUAAGACGGUCUUCAUGUGGAAAUCGACUUAAAAUGAACGUCAUGCUACCACGAUCCUCACGUCGUGACCGUCUUAGAAUGAACGUUAUUCCUAAGACGGUCUUCACGUGGAGAGAUCGUCUUAGAAUGAACGACAUUCAAACACGGUCUUUUGAAACCGGCAUUGUAGACAUUGCUAUUUUUUACGACACCUCCAUCAACGAUAGGUCAAAACCGAUGUAGUACGUUGUAAUUAACCGAUGUAAAAGGCGGCUUUUGUAGUAGUGUAAUUUCUUAUAUCAUUUGC